rnacentral:piRNA from 1 species
AACAAAACAAAAACAUGAGAUGUUGGACCUA